rnacentral:rRNA from 1 species
GUCCACGCCGUAAACGGUGAGCACUAGAUGUCGGGGGUAUCGACCCCUCCGGUGUCGCAGCUAACGCAUUAAGUGCUCUGCCUGGGGAGUACGGCCGCAAGGCUAAAACUCAAAGGAAUUGACGGGGGCCCCGCACAAGCAGCGGAGCGUGUGGUUUAAUUCGAUGCAACGCGAAGAACCUCACCUAGGCUUGACAUGCACCAAGUAGAACCCUGAAAGGGGGACGACUCGUCGAAUCGAGAGGGUGCACAGGUGCUGCAUGGCUGUCGU